AUUGAACGCUGGCGGCAGGCCUAACACAUGCAAGUCGAGCGAGCGGAGGACGGGGGCGUAAUGUCUGGGAAACUGCCUGAUGGAGGGGGAUAACUACGGGAAACGGUAGCUAAUACCGCAUACCAUCAGACGUGCCCAGAUGGGAUUAGCUGGUAGGUGGGGUAACGGCUGACCUAGGCGACGAUCCCUAGCGGGUCUGAGAGGAUGACCAGCCACACUGGAACUGAGACACGGUCCAGACUCCUACGGGAGGCAGCAGUGGGGAAUAUUGCACAAUGGGCGAAAGCCUGAUGCAGCCAUGCCGCGUGUGUGAAGAAGGCCUUCGGGUUGUAAAGCACUUUAAGCGGGGAGGCGUUACCCACAGAAGAAGCACCGGCUAACUCCGUGCCAGCCGCCGCGGUAAUAC
rnacentral:rRNA from 1 species